rnacentral:rRNA from 1 species
ACGUAGGGUGCAAGCGUUAAUCGGAAUUACUGGGCGUAAAGCGCGCGCAGGCGGCACUCUAAGUACGUCGUGAAAUAUCCCGGCUCAACCGGGAGGGUGCGAUGUAGACUAGGGAGCUAGAGGUCGGUAGAGGGGGGUGGAAUUGCUGGUGUAGCGGUGAAAUGCGUAGAGAUCAGGAAGAACACCCGUGGCGCAAGCGGCCACCUGGCCAAGAGCUGACGCUGAGGCACGAGAGCGUGGGGAGCGAACCGGA